rnacentral:rRNA from 1 species
AGCAGCCGUGGUAAUUCCAGCUCCAAUAGCGUGUAUUAAAGUUGUUGCAGUUAAAAAGCUCGUAGUUGAAUUUCGAGACCGGUUUACUGGUCGUGCUUUUGUACGUACUGGUAUAAUCAGUUUCUCUCUUUUGACGAACUAUAAUGCUAUUAAUUUGGUGUUUUAGGGAAUCAGGACUGUUACUUUGAAAAAAUUAGAGUGUUUAAAGCAGGCUCACGCUUGAAUACAUUAGCAUGGAAUAACGAAAUAGGACGUUUGAUUUUAUUUUGUUGGUUUCUAGGAUCGACGUAAUGAUUAAUAGGGAUAGUUGGGGGCAUUAGUAUUCAAUUGUCAGAGGUAAAAUUCUUGGAUUUAUUGAAGACUAACUACUGCGAAAGCAUUUGCCAAGGAUGUUUUCAUUAAUCAAGAACGAAAGUUAAGGAUCGAAGACGAUCAGAUACCGUCGUAGUCUUAACCAUAAACUAUGCCGACUAGGGAUCGGAUGAUGUUAAAUUAUGACUCAUUCGGCACCUUACGGGAA